rnacentral:rRNA from 1 species
UACGGAGGGUGCAAGCGUUAUCCGGAUUCACUGGGCUUAAAGGGCGCGUAGGUGGGUUGGCAAGUCAGUGGUGAAAUCUCCGGGCUUAACCUGGAAACUGCCAUUGAUACUAUCAAUCUUGAAUACCUUGGAGGUGAGCGGAAUAUGUCAUGUAGCGGUGAAAUGCUUAGAUAUGACAUAGAACACCAAUUGCGAAGGCAGCUCACUACACGGUCAUUGACACUGAGGCACGAAAGCGUGGGGAGCAAACAGG